AUGCCUCCUGAGCCAGGCAUCACGACAGGUGGAGCUCCCAAGACACAGUCUCUGCCCAUCAGAGUUCAUCCUGCGUGGAAGACACACGCUGACAGGCAGAGGCCAGUUUCCAGCCAGCUGUGCGGGGGCUCAGGGGCCACGGCGUGGGGAGCCCUCCGGAGGCCGAGAGCUGAUGGAGGUUGUCAAGGUUCCUUAACUGCAAGCUCAGUUACAGGGACGGAAGACACGACUAUGUUCAGAAUCAGCAGCCGACAGAGCUACCGCACAACCGUACCUGAAACAGUGGAGUGACCCGGAAGCUGUACAUGAGCGGACCAGGUUGAGAUGUUGAGAAGACAAGUUACAUAAAGGCAGCGAAGGCAACGUGCAGACGCUGUCUGCCCAGACCCAUUUCCUCCCUUCUUUCUGCUAACAGAACCCUGAUUUUGCUAAGGGUGACAGUGUGCCCAGCCUGAGAGGAUGACUCAUAUUUCAAAACCAAUCAUGACAAUCUCAGCCUCUUUCACUAGACAGUCAAUUUCCCAGCCUCCCUUUCAGCAUGAGAUGCAUGAGGAAGUCUGCAGAAAAGCUUCUAGAGAGUUUUUGCUUUCUUGACACAUGAGAAAGUAGUGGCCGACUCAGUCCCUUCCCCCUUCUUUCUGCCUUGAACUUGCAUGUGAUACAUGGAACUGCAGCAGCCAUCUUGCAACCAUGAGGUGACAUGCAUGGGGGUGAUAGGCCGAUAUGCAAAAUGGAAAGACAGAAAGAGUCUGAGUCCUUAAUGACAUUGGCAAGCUGCAGACCAGUCCUGAUGACUGUCUCUGAGUUUCCUGUUAAGUAAACAAUAAACUUUCUAAUGGCUUAGUGGAUGCUUUUGGC
rnacentral:lncRNA from 1 species